rnacentral:rRNA from 1 species
GAUGAACGCUGGCGGCGUGCCUAAUACAUGCAAGUCGAGCGAACGGACGAGAAGCUUGCUUCUCUGAUGUUAGCGGCGGACGGGUGAGUAACACGUGGAUAACCUACCUAUAAGACUGGGAUAACUUCGGGAAACCGGAGCUAAUAACGGAUAAUAUUUUGAACCGCAUGGUUCAAAAGUGAAAGACGGUCUUGCUGUCACUUAUAGAUGGAUCCGCGCUGCAUUAGCUAGUUGGUAAGGUAACGGCUUACCAAGGCAACGAUGCACAGCCGACCUGAGAGGGUGAUCGGCCACACUGGAACUGAGACACGGUCCAGACUCCUACGGGAGGCAGCAGUAGGGAAUCUUCCGCAAUGGGCGAAAGCCUGACGGAGCAACGCCGCGUGAGUGAUGAAGGUCUUCGGAUCGUAAAACUCUGUUAUUAGGGAAGAACAUAUGUGUAAGUAACUGUGCACAUCUUGACGGUACCUAAUCAGAAAGCCACGGCUAACUACGUG